rnacentral:rRNA from 1 species
CCUACGGGAGGCUGCAGUUAUUAAUAUUUUUCCCUUUCCUUCAUUCUUAACCAGCCAAGCCGCGUGAAGGACGAAGGUGCCAAGCAUUGUAAACUUCUUUUGUCAAGGGACAAAAUCAGGCUCGAGAGCCUGACCGAGGGUACUUGAAGAAAAAGCAUCGGCUAACUCCGUGCCAGCAGCCGCGGUAAUACGGAGGAUGCGAGCGUUAUCCGGAUUUAUUGGGUUUAAAGGGUGCGUAGGCGGGCUGUUAAGUCAGCGGUAAAAGCCCGGGGCUCAACCCCGGCGAGCCGUUGAAACUGGCUGUCUUGAGAUGUCGAGAGGUAUGCGGAAUGCGCAGUGUAGCGGUGAAAUGCUUAGAUAUUGCGCAGAACUCCGAUUGCGAAGGCAGCAUACCGGCGGCGAUCUGACGCUGAGGCACGAAAGCGUGGGUAUCGAACAGGAUUAGAUACCCCAGUAGUC